AGUGCUCCAAGGCCAAGCUGGUCUAGGUAGAGCCCUGACCAGCUGCUCUGAGCCCCACAUGCAGCACUCGGGAUGACUCCCUGAACAUCAGAUACAUAGCAUCUCUAGACUUCAAAUGGCCAUCAGAUUGAACCAAACUUCUAGACCAUCUUAGGGAGAAGGAUGUAAUUGUAAGUUUCUGAAACCUGUGCCACCAGCUUUUGUAACAGAGACAUGAUUUCUCAGCAGUGGUCCUAACACCCCUAAGAUCAUCCUGCAGAGCUGCUGACACAGCUCUUUCUCAGCCAGACAUCUUGGGAAAGAGAACUCUAGCAGCUAGAACUCAUGUUGUGGGUGUUUCCUCCAUCUCCUGCAAGAAACUUAGAAGCAGCAUGUCAUGAGUCAAGCAAGCGAGUUAGGCAAUGUCACGAGUGACUCAAACUUUAGAUAUUUCCUUCAGCUUCAGAUUCCUCGUAUUUUAUCUGGGAAUAACAGCAAUAUCUACCUCAAAGAGUUGUUUCAAGGGAUGUUUGCACCUGGGAAACAUGCUCCAGGGUCAUGCCUGAGUCUUGGAGGGUAAAAGGAAACCCUAGCUGCGAGUCAAAUGUACUGGCUUGAAAUUCGCAGUCCUUGUUCACUUCAGCCCAGACCUUACCGGAGCAGCCAGUUCUUUGUGGUAGGAAAAUCUGAGGACUUCCUGGACUGGGUUACCCACAGAGAAAUUGGGCUCACUGAGAGGCCACCCUGAGGAAAGCAGAGCUGGACUUGGACUAGCGAGGAACAAUCCAGGGGAAUUUCAUUCCUUAGAAGGGAGGGGUUGUGAUUAAACAAGAUAUAUCUUAAUUUGAGUGCAGAAGGCAGAUCAUGAAUCAAAAGCCCUUCCACCUAAUAAAAUGCCUUCAUUUUGAAUAA